GCCUUCAAAGGAGCCUUGUACACAAUCUCUAGAGGAGAGUGUGCACAGAGGAGAGAUCAUGUGAGGACACAGCGAGAAGACAAUCAUCUGUAAGCCAAGGAGAGAGGCCUCAGAAAAAAAUCCACCCUGCUAAGAGCUUGAUCUUGGACUUACAGCCUCCAGGACUGUGAGUAAAUAAAUUUCUGUUUUAUAAGCCAUUCAGACUGUAGUGUUCUGUUAUGUUAACCCUAGCAAACUAAUAAAUACAUACCUAUCAUAUAUAUGUAAUAUAUAUUAUAUAUACAUUUUUAAAAUUAUUACAUUUAUUAUUACUGAUAAUAUACAUAUACGUGGGAAACAUAACGGAAAAUAUGGCAUUAUUACAUACAUGUAAGUUAUGGCUUAAUUGAUUCACUAUCUUCCAAUUGGUUAUAAUUUUGUUUGGGAAAUUUUUUCCACUGACUAAUAAGUUAUCACCUCAUAAUCCUUUUAUAAGUGAAGGUGGUAAAUAAUAAACAUUUUAAAUAAAAGAAAGAGAGUUCUGCCACACAUUUUUUCAGCUGUAUAUUUUAAUCAGUUCUACAGAAAUCAGUUAGGUGAAAGACUUAUAAAUCUCUCUUGGAAUAUAAAGUAAAAAUUUUAAAGUGAAAUACUAGAGAUAUCAAUAUCUAAAGACAUUGUUAAAUCAGUUAUUAAUACAUAAGGGAAUAAUAUGUAGUAUUAGUACAAAACAAAAAUGAUCAAAUAUUUGUGAGAUUUAUUUAACUGUGAGAAGGUUUUAAAAACUUAUUUCCUUUAUUGGGGAGGUUACACAUUUUCCUUAAAUAUGACGCAUACUUCUUCAUUUUCUUGCUAAGUAGCAUCAGCUAAAGUUAAGAUGAUGCAGUCAAUUUAAUUGUUUGUUUGAGACAGGGUCUCAAUCUACUACCCAGGCUGGCACAGGGUGAUGCAAUCUUGGUUCAGUGCAGCAUCAGCUUCCUAAGUUCAAGUGAUCCUCUCACUUCAGCCUCCCGAGUAGCUGGGACUACAGGCUCAUGAUGCCACCAUGACUAGCUAAGUUUGUUUGUUUUUUGUUUUUUUUUGUUUUUUUUUUUUGUAGAGACAGAUCUGACUCUACUUAAGCUGGUCUUGAAUCCCAGAGUGCUGGGAUUACAGGCAUGAGCCAACACACCCAGCCUUUUUUUUUUUUUUUUUUUUUUUUUUUUUAAAUUCCAACAAGGGUCAUGUUAUUGUCAGACUGAAACUUGCUGAUCCAUGGCAAGUCAUUUUUUCCCACACAAGACCAAACUUUAAUACUUCUGGAACCAAAGAUGCACCCCCUGGUAGUAUUUGGCAGUAACUAGAAGUAUGAGAAAUGGCAGAAGUAAUGAUGGUAUGAGUGUUUUUAGUUCUGUGUUAACAUUCGUCCUGGCCAUACCUCGAUAUUUUUAUUCAUCCACAAGAAGUAUUUAAUAAGAGUUAAUGUAAUUAGAUGCUAUACCAGACACAGGAAGAAAUAGAAAAUCUAACUCAUGGGUCUCUGAUAUGUAUCAUGCACAUCAAAGCACUUACAUAGGAAAUACCCAGUGAGUGUUCUAUUAACUAGAACAUGCUAAGUUGAAAUCCACUUUGUUACAGCUAAACUUCCGUGAUCUUGAGUCAAAAGAAAUCAGAGAGAUAAGUUUGUGAUGAAUAUUAUUUGACUUAUAAAAUUGGUUAACCUCAUUAUUAUAAAAGGACAUUUAAGAAAAAUAGGAAAACAUAAGUCAUUUUUUUCUUUAUCUAUAUAUCUAAUAGAAAUCCCUUCCCCUUUGGUACAGUAUUCAUACCAACUGAACAAAACUGCAUUUUUAAAAAAUUUAUAUACUGAUUAUCCCAAUACUAAUAGACUAUCCUUUAUUGAGGAAGCUGUAAUUUUUCCUUAAAUAUGACACAUACUUCUGCAUUUUCUUACUAAGUAUCAUCAGGUAAAGUUAAGAUGAUGCAGUCAAUUUAUUUAUUUUUACUUGUGACAUCAUCUCACUCUAUUACCCAGGCUUAUAUUGGAGCAAAUGAGACAAAUUGUUUGGACUAUUUCUUCACACAGGACAGAUACUAAAAAUACAUUAUAUUAAUUGUUCAAUAUGAAUCUGCCCUUAGCUGACUUAAUCACAAUAUCUUUAUGACUUUUGGCAGUUUCCUCAUUUGCUCCUUCCUCAUCUGUAAUACCUGCCUCAAAAAAAUGUUGUGAAGAAAUUAUGUGGGUGGCUUGGCCCUGGUGGAUCGCCCUUGGAGAGUGGAGGUGCUUUGCUCAAAGAGAGCACAUCUAAGACAGUAAAUGGUGCAAGCGAUUGACAUAAAAGCAGAACUUCUAGACAGUAAUAGACAUAUCUGAUUAUCCUGGGAGUGGGCAGUUGACAAUGGAAGAAAUGACUUGAUUGUAUUUUAAAAAUUGCAGUUAGUAAUUGGAAGGUUCCAAAAAAAAAAGCACAGCAGAGGACGAACACAAGGAGGAAGAGUGAGGCUGUGCGCCCGAUCCUUGGUAAGCACGCAGAUGUUGGCUCUCUGUUGGCUGAAGUGGGUAAGGAAUGGCCACUCCAACUGCAGUUCUCUGAGUGUGCUGAGGAUUUUUUAAAAAGAAUUAAGAGACCUACUCAGAUGUAAGAAAUGAGCCUCUUACUGUGGGAAACAAUAUGGAAGGAACUACUAUAGGGUUUUAGUCUACUGGCAGAAAGGAAAUCUGCCACUGAGAACCACUCUCUAAUCAGGAUGAGACUGCAGGCAUAAAACAAUGAAAAGACAACAAAUAAUGCAUACUUAGAAGUUAUUUAAGAUUUUUAUUGUCAAUUAAGUGGAAAAAGUUACAUUCUGCACACAGAAAAUGAGAAGGACAGUGAUUGGCUUGGCAAAAAAUCUAAAGGCAAAAAGAAUAAAUACUAUUGCAAGAAAAUGUUUGAGAUUUUCAUGUUUACUUCUUUUUCCUUUCUAAUAAAGAACUAAAUUUGUCAUGUGGAGAAUUUGUCUGUAGGACAGAACACUGCCCUGAAAUAUUCAUGCUGAUUUUAGAAAAAUAAAGUCCUGGGACUUUAAAAACUACAUACUUAUAAAAUAUGAUACACAAUUUCAAAUGUUUAACCGAAAAAAAUAAGCUGUACUUAGAUGAGCUAAGGCAUGUGGCUAAGUCAAAUUACCUUAAAAAAAUAAUUAAAUAAAAUCGUUACUGGCUGGGUGUGGUAGCUCACACCUGUAAUCCCAGUACUUUGAGAGGCCUAGGCAGGUGGAUCACUUCAGGUCAGGAGUUCAAGACCAGAAUGGCCAACAUGGUGAAACCCCAUCUCUACUAAAAACACAAAACUUAGCCGGGAGUGGUGGCAUGCACCUGUAAUCCCAGCUACUCGGGAGGCUGAGGCACAAAGCAUCGCUUGAACCCAGGAGGCAGAGGUUUCAGUGAGCCAAGAUUGUGCCAGAGCAUUCCAGCCUGGGCGACGGAAGGAGACUGUCUCAAAAACAAACAAACAAAUCACUGUUAUUAAUUAUGCAAAUCUUAAAGGAUAUUAGUGUAAACAAUAUUGGGCAGGUGUUUUCAAAUUGAUAUGAGGGGGUGUAUAAUAGCAUCCCCUCAACACGCACAUACAAUUUCUGAAGAAAUGACCAGUAAUAAAUCCUUCAGCCACAAGAUAGAGGGUGAGUUGGAUCCCCAGUGAGCUGGUGAAAUAAACAAAAUUUCCUAAGUUAAAUUAUUCUCUGACAUAUUUUUGGAUAGGAAGGGGCAUUGGCAAUUGGAAUAUCAUUUAGCUAGGAGGAGAUAUAUUUACUGAGUUGACAACACUUUUAUGAAAUUUAUAAAAACUUUUCUUAUUCAGAUUUGAUCAAAGUUUAACCUUAACGGUACAAAACUCACAGUUUUGGGAAAUGUUAUUAAAGUUGGAAUAAAAUAGCUAAUAGAUGUUGUUACAUUCUUGGAAUUUGUGGGUUAUAAUUUAGAUAAUUUUUAUUUUGAUACAUUUUAAAUAGGCAUGGUAGAUCUAGUUAAGACAGAAACUUUUAACAAUAAACUAGAGAAAAAUUUAAGUCUAAUCAGACACACUUCUCAGAGUGAAA
rnacentral:lncRNA from 10 species